rnacentral:rRNA from 1 species
GACGAACGCUGGCGGCGUGCUUAACACAUGCAAGUCGAACGGAAAGGCCCUGCUUUUGUGGGGUGCUCGAGUGGCGAACGGGUGAGUAACACGUGAGUAACCUGCCCUUGACUUUGGGAUAACUUCAGGAAACUGGGGCUAAUACCGGAUAGGAGCUCCUGCUGCAUGGUGGGGGUUGGAAAGUUUCGGCGGUUGGGGAUGGACUCGCGGCUUAUCAGCUUGUUGGUGGGGUAGUGGCUUACCAAGGCUUUGACGGGUAGCCGGCCUGAGAGGGGGACCGGCCACAUUGGGACUGAGAGACGGACCAGACUCCUACGGGAGGCAGCAGUGGGGAGUAUUGCACAAUGGGCGGAAGCCUGAUGCAGCAACGCCGCGUGCGGGAUGACGGCCUUCGGGUUGUAAACCGCUUUCGCCUGUGACGAAGCGUGAGUGACGGUAAUGGGUAAAGAAGCACCGGCUAACUACGUG